UACGUAGGGGGCGAGCGUUGUCCGGAUUUAUUGGGUGUAAAGAGCUCGUAGGCGGUUUGGUAAGUCGGAUGUGAAAUCUCCAGGCUCAACCUGGAGGGGUCAUUCGAUACUGCCAUGACUAGAGUCCGGUAGGGGAGUGUGGAAUUCCUGGUGUAGCGGUGAAAUGCGCAGAUAUCAGGAGGAACACCGGUGGCGAAGGCGGGUCUCUGGGCCGAUACUGACGCUGAGGAGCGAAAGCGUGGGGAGCAAACAGG
rnacentral:rRNA from 1 species